rnacentral:misc_RNA from 1 species
UCUCCGUAGGUGAACCUGCGGAAGGAUCAUUACUGAGUGAGGGCCCCUCGGGGUCCAACCUCCCACCCGUGUUUAACGAACCUUGUUGCUUCGGCGGGCCCGCCUCACGGCCGCCGGGGGGCAUCUGCCCCCGGGCCCGCGCCCGCCGAAGCCACCUGUGAACGCUGUCUGAAGUAUGCAGUCUGAGACAAUUAUUAAAUUAAUUAAAACUUUCAACAACGGAUCUCUUGGUUCCG